AUCUUUGCGCUUGGGGCAAUGACGCAGCUAGUGAGGUAUUAACCGAGGCGCGUCUAUUGCUGGUUGAAAACUAUUUCCAAACCCCCUCUUAGGCUUGAGUCUUACUUAAGCCUUUGAGAAUUUCUGGAAGGACUCCCUUUGGGGUAAAGUC
rnacentral:snRNA from 1 species